UAACUCUUGAAAGACAAUCCAGGACAAGACACAUCUCAAAGAAUAAUGCAGCAGAAGAAAAUUGUCUUAAAGAAAGUGUUGGAGAGUCAGGGGAC